ensembl:lncRNA
GAGGAGACCAGAGGAGACCAGUCAACUACAGAGGAGACCAGUCAACUACAGAGGAGACCAGAGGAGACCAGAGGAGGUGAGAGAUCUUUCUGAAAGUCUCUAAAGCCUCUAACACCAUUCCACCUGACGUGGCCUGGUGAGAGAGGUGACAGAACAUAGACAACACAAAAACACAUGAAUCAGCGAAUCAUUAUCAAAUAAUCAUCUGGUCAGCAUGUUGUUUAUACAGGGAAGGUUAGGGUCAGAGGGAAGGGUUAGGGUCAGAGGGAAGGGUUAGGGUCAGAGGGAAGGGUCAGGGUCAGAGGGAAGGCUUAG